AAGCCCAGAACCCUGCUGUCAGUCACCCCUCAGGACCUCCAGGCUGAACUCGUAGUCAUUCCCCUGUGGCAGCCUUUGGAUGCUGGGAUCACAAUCCUCUGCCUGGGGCCUGACUAGAUGAAUCGGGAGGGGGCAUGGCCUCUCGGGGUGACGUGUUCGGGCCUAGCAGGAUGCCUUGCACACCCAGCCUCCCUGCAGUAUUCCUGCUGCUCCUCCUAGAUACCCUUGAACUGCACUGGAAACCUGCCUAUACCCCUGUGCCUGCUACAUCCCCACCAAGGUCCGCUGCAACUUCUGGUCUCUUCCAGUGUCACUUCCAGUAGGGAUUCCCUGUGAUUUGGAGAGGAUCAACCUUGGGUGCAUUAGGCUCAGAAACCAGUUUCUCCGGUCGCCCCUGGCUGCCUCUGCAGUCAUCCUGAAUAAGCAGGAGGAACUCACUAAGGUCCAACAGCAUCCAGGACCUGCCUAUCAUGGCUUUCACCAGGAUGGUGCGGCUGGAGCUACUAAUGCUUCAUGGGAACGGAGAUAGAGAGAUUCCAGACAGGGCCCUGCAGGACCUGGUGGCCCUGCAGCUUCACAUCUACACCAUUGACCUCACCACCGAUGUCAUCACUGAUGUCAUCACUCACGGCCACUCCCUGGCCUCACAUCAUCACUGAGGAAUCAGUUUACCUCAAGACCCAGCAAUUCCUCUCUUGGGCAUAUACUCAAGGAAUGCACAUUCAUACCACAAGGCCAUCUGUUCAACUAUGUUCAUAGCAGCUAUGUUUGUAAUAGCCAGAACCU